UACGAAGGGGGGCUAGCGUUGCUCGGAAUCACUGGGCGUAAAGGGUGCGUAGGCGGGUCUUUAAGUCAGGGGUGAAAUCCUGGAGCUCAACUCCAGAACUGCCUUUGAUACUGAGGAUCUUGAGUUCGGGAGAGGUGAGUGGAACUGCGAGUGUAGAGGUGAAAUUCGUAGAUAUUCGCAAGAACACCAGUGGCGAAGGCGGCUCACUGGCCCCGAUACUGACGCUGAGGCACGAAAGCGUGGGGAGCAAACA
rnacentral:rRNA from 1 species